GAUGAACGCUGGCGGCGUGCUUAACACAUGCAAGUCGAACGGGAAACCUUUUAUUGAAGCUUCGGCAGUUUUAGCUGGUUUCUAGUGGCGGACGGGUGAGUAACGCGUGGGUAACCUGCCUUAUACAGGGGGAUAACAACCAGAAAUGGUUGCUAAUACCGCAUAAGCGCACAGGACCGCAUGGUCCGGUGUGAAAAACUCCGGUGGUAUAAGAUGGACCCGCGUUGGAUUAGCUAGUUGGCAGGGUAACGGCCUACCAAGGCGACGAUCCAUAGCCGGCCUGAGAGGGUGAACGGCCACAUUGGGACUGAGACACGGCCCAGACUCAUACGGGAGGCAGCAGUGGGGAAUAUUGCACAAUGGGGGAAACACUGAUGCAGCGACGCCGCGUGAAGGAAGAAGUAUAUCGGUAUGUAAACUUCUAUCAGCAGGGAAGAUAGUGACGGUACCUGACGAAGAAGCCCCGGCUAACUACGUG
rnacentral:rRNA from 1 species